AGAGUUUGAUCCUGGCUCAGGAUGAACGCUAGACGUGUGCUUAAGCAUGCAAGUCGAACGUGAUCCCUUGAAUUCGUCUGGGGGUGAAAGUGGCGAACGGGUGAGUAACGCGUUGGUGAUCUACCCGGAGUGGGGAAUAACUAUUGGAAACGAUAGCUAAUACCCCAGAUGUCCUCGUGUUUGGAAAGCGAUGACUAAAGUUCAGGCGCUCCGGGAGGAGCCAGCGUCCCAUCAGCUAGUUGGUAAGGUAACGGCUUACCAAGGCAAAGACGGGUAGGGGGGCGUGAGAGCGUGACCCCCCACACUGGUACUGAUACACGGACCAGAUACCUACGGGUAGCAGCAGCUAGGAAUAUUGGACAAUGGGCGAAAGCCUGAUCCAGCAACACCGCGUGGAGGACGAAGGCCUUCGGGUCGUAAACUCCUUUUUGGGGGGAUGAGAAAGGACAGUACCCCCAGAAUAAGGCCCGGCUAACUACGUGCCAGCAGCCGCGGUAAUACGUAGGGGCCAAGCGUUAUCCGGAUUUACUGGGCGUAAAGCGCAUGUAGGCGGUCUGCUAAGUCGGACGUGAAAGCUCCUGGCUCAACUAGGAGAGGCCGUUCGAAACUAGUAGACUAGAGGAUGGUAGAGGAGAGCGGAAUUCCAGGUGUAGCGGUGAAAUGCGUAGAUAUCUGGAGGAACACCAGUGGCGAAAGCGGC
rnacentral:rRNA from 1 species